UGGUGGAGUGAUCUGUCUGGUUAAUUCCGUUAACGAACGAGAUCUUAACCCGCUAAAUAGAUGAUUUUCGAAUUAUCUUCUUAGAGGGACACUUGAUCGUAUAGAUCAAGGAAGUUUGAGGUAAUAACA
rnacentral:rRNA from 1 species